rnacentral:misc_RNA from 1 species
GCUUCCCUUGCUAAAACGUUUGAGGAUGAAUACCUCAAAGAAGAUAAUCUUUCUUUGCGGAACAUUACGCUAUUGCUUUCCUAUUUAUGUGUAUUUGGAGUUUGCGCCAGUGAUCUAAUCUAUGAUUUUCUCGUUAUACUGAGCAAGCGGUUGACAGAAAUUGAUGUAUCCACCAUCCUGACAGUCUUACAAUGUUGUGGAAUGAAAAUAAGGGCUGAUGAUCCCACUGCAAUGAAGAAUUUUAUUAUCAGUGUUCAAAGUAAGGUUAAUGAGCUAAAGGCAGCUUCUGGAGAUGGUCUACAAAAUAUCAAUGGAA